UACGUAGGGAGCGAGCGUUGUCCGGAAUUACUGGGUGUAAAGGGAGCGUAGGCGGGAUUGCAAGUCAGAUGUGAAAUACGGAAGCUUAACUUCCGGGCUGCAUUUGAAACUGUAGUUCUUGAGUGAAGUAGAGGCAAGCGGAAUUCCUGGUGUAGCGGUGAAAUGCGUAGAUAUCAGGAGGAACACCGGUGGCGAAGGCGGCUUGCUGGGCUUUAACUGACGCUGAGGCUCGAAAGCGUGGGUAGCAAACAGG
rnacentral:rRNA from 1 species